CCUACGGGAGGCAGCAGUGGGGGAUAUUGCACAAUGGGCGAAAGCCUGAUGCAGCGACGCCGCGUGAAGGAAGAAGUAUUUCGGUAUGUAAACUUCUAUCAGCAGGGAAGAAAAUGACGGUACCUGACUAAGAAGCCCCGGCUAAAUACGUGCCAGCAGCCGCGGUAAUACGUAUGGGGCAAGCGUUAUCCGGAUUUACUGGGCGUAAAGGGAGCGUAGGCGGCAGGGCAAGUCAGAUGUGAAAGACCGGGGCUCAACUUCGGGGUUGCAUUUGAAACUGUCCGGCUAGAGUGUCGGAGAGGUAAGCGGAAUUCCUAGUGUAGUGGUGAAAUGCGUAGAUAUUAGGAGGAACAUCGGUGGCGAAGGCGGCUUACUGGACGAUAACUGACGCUGAGGCUCGAAAGCGUGGGGAGCAAACAGGAUUAGAUACCCCGGUAGUC
rnacentral:rRNA from 1 species